GGAGUUAGCCGGUGCUUCUUCUGCGAGUAACGUCACAGAUGUAAGGUAUUAACUUACACCCUUUCCUCCUCGCUGAAAGUGCUUUACAACCCGAAGGCCUUCUUCACACACGCGGCAUGGCUGCAUCAGGGUUUCCCCCAUUGUGCAAUAUUCCCCACUGCUGCCUCCCGUAGGAGUCUGGGCCGUGUCUCAGUCCCAGUGUGGCUGAUCAUCCUCUCAGACCAGCUAGGGAUCGUCGCCUAGGUGAGCCUUUACCUCACCUACUAGCUAAUCCCACCUGGGCUUAUCCAUCAGCGCAAGGCCCGAAGGUCCCCUGCUUUCCCCCGUAGGGCGUAUGCGGUAUUAGCAGUCGUUUCCAACUGUUAUCCCCCACAAAUGGGCAAAUUCCCAGGCAUUACUCACCCGUCCGCCGCUCGUCAUCUUCAAAAGCAAGCUUUUGAAAUGUUACCGCUCGACUUGCAUGUGUUAGGCCUGCCGCCACGCGUCAUACUGACAACGAUACAACUUACUGA
rnacentral:rRNA from 1 species